rfam:Chryseobacterium sp. MOF25P AB670_contig000129, whole genome shotgun sequence.
CAAUAGCCCCGAUUGCAACGACAUCCUUUUUCUGAGUUGGAUUGUUAAAAAGCGAUGGCGAAAAAGAUAUAGUGGAAAGCGGGAAAAAGC